rnacentral:snoRNA from 1 species
CUCGCACGCAGGAACGUGGCAGGCCAAUGAGUGCGCACUCGUCUCUCAUGUGGUUCAACAACAUGGUCCGAGA